rnacentral:rRNA from 1 species
GUGGUGGUGACGGAUAACGGAGGAUCAGGGUUCGACUCCGGAGAAGGGGCCUGAGAAAUGGCCACUACGUCUAAGGAUGGCAGCAGGCGCGCAAAUUACCCACUCUCGGCUCGAGGAGGUAGUGACGAGAAAUAACGAGACUGUUCUCUUUGAGGCCGGUCAUCGGAAUGGGUACAAUUUAAACCCUUUAACGAGUAUCAAGCAGAGGGCAAGUCUGGUGCCAGCAGCCGCGGUAAUUCCAGCUCUGCUAAUACAUAGAAUUAUUGCUGCGGUUAAAAAGCUCGUAGUUGGAUUCGUAUCGGUACCUUGGAACCCUUCGGGUGUUUCUGGGUGUUAUCGAUUUAUCGUAAUGUUCGGUUUUGAGUCCUUAACAGGAUUUUUAACAGUCAUUGCAAGUUUACUUUGAACAAAUCAGAGUGCUUCAAACAGGCGUUUUCGCUUGAAUGAUCGUGCAUGGAAUAAUAGAAAACGAUUUCGGUUCAGUUUUAUUGGUUUUACGGACUGAGAUAAUGGUUAACAGAGACAAACGGGGGCAUUUGUAUGGCCCCGUGAGAGGUGAAAUUCUUGGACCGUGGCCAGACAAACUACAGCGAAAGCAUUUGCCAAGAAUGUCUUCAUUAAUCAAGAACGAAAGUCAGAGGUUCGAAGGCGAUCAGAUACCGCCCUAGUUCUGACCGUAAACGAUGCCAACUAGCGAUCCGCCGAUGGAAAUUAUAUUGCCUUGGUGGGGAGCUUCCCGGAAACGAAAGUCUUCCGGUUCCGGGGGAAGUAUGGUUGCAAAGCUGAAACUUAAAGGAAUUGACGGAAGGGCACCACCAGGAGUGGAGCCUGCGGCUUAAUUUGACUCAACACGGGGAAACUCACCCGGCCCGGACACUGUGAGGAUUGACAGAUUGAUAGCUUUUUCAUGAUUCAGUGGAUGGUGGUGCAUGGCCGUUCUUAGUUCGUGGAGUGAUUUGUCUGGUUUAUUCCGAUAACGAGCGAGACUCUAACCUACUAAAUAGCUGGUACAUACUCUUAGUGUAUACAGCUUCUUAGAGGGAUUUGCGGUGUUCAGCCGAAAGAAAUUGAGCAAUAACAGGUCUGUGAUGCCCUUAGAUGUCCGGGGCUGCACGCGCGCUACACUGGCAAAAUCAACGUGCUUGUCCUACCCCGAAAGGGGCGGGUAAACCAUUGAAAAUUUGCCGUGAU